AAAAUUUCAGGUGAGAGUUUGGAAGAUGGCUGUGUAGGAGAAUCCUGAACUCACCUCCUCCCAUGGAUGCAGCAAAUCUACAACUACCU